rnacentral:rRNA from 1 species
GUUGCAGGGAAUGCCUGCACUGAACACGAAGUGCUGGAACAUUGUCGGGGAAAGAUUGCCGAUUUCAAGGUUCCCAGCCUGAUUGAGUUCCGAGACACUCUUCCCAGGAGUGCCACGGGCAAGAUCCUCCGCGGGCGCCUGACUGAGGCGGAGUGAGAGUUCUCUCGCUGUUCAAGGCAUUCUAUGUCCUGACGGUGGUUGGGCUGG